AACGAAGAGCACGGCCGUUGUUUCUUUUGAUUGGGUGUAAAGGGUACGUAGGCGGCCUCCAGUAAUUUUCGGCUAAAAGAGCAGAGUGUUCCUGUGCGUCUGCCGAUGAAGACCGGGGCUUGAGUUAUCUAGAGGUUGGGGCAAGUUCGUGUCUAAGGGUAGAAUCUACAAAACCACGAACGAACACCAGCUGGUGAAAACUCCUUUCCUGAUUUAACUGACGCUAAGGUACGGAAGCUUAGGGCGCAAACAGG
rnacentral:rRNA from 1 species